UUAUUCAGUUGCUUGCCAUGUCAAUGAUGGUACAACUAAGAAUAGUACAAGAACAGAACUUAUUGUCAGAGAUUUCUCUAAUCCUACAAGACACGGUAAUGAGGUUACCCUUUCUCUUUGCAGUUUUCCUGAUGGUAUAUAUUAUCAAAAUGGUCCCAACCCUAACUUACUGGUGGCCCCAAUUAAUCAAAGCUAUACCCUGACCGUCAAUGGAUCUACUGAAGGUCGAUACAGAUGUGGUUCCAGUGGUAUUGGUAGAACAAUAAUAGUCCUCCGUCAAUUUAAAGAAAACAAUACUUUAGUACCUAAAACUUUAACUUGGGGACAACGUCAGGUUCUUGACUGUACUGGCUAUGUACCUGGAAACUAUCACAAAGGCUAUAAAGUUGCAUGGUUACUAGAUGGCCGUCAAAGAUGUAUUAAAGGCUCUGCCUGUGAAGCCAAUAACUUCAACAUAAACCCCGAUAAUUUCAGUUUAAGUUUUGAUUAUUACCCAACUUUCACCACCUAUGAAUGUCAAAUUGAAUCAGAUGAG